rnacentral:rRNA from 1 species
GACGAACGCUGGCGGCGUGCUUAACACAUGCAAGUCGAACGGAAAGGCCCUGCUUUUGUGGGGUGCUCGAGUGGCGAACGGGUGAGUAACACGUGAGUAACCUGCCCUUGACUUUGGGAUAACUUCAGGAAACUGGGGCUAAUACCGGAUAGGAGCUCCUGCUGCAUGGUGGGGGAUUGGAAAGUUUCGGCGGUUGGGGAUGGACUCGCGGCUUAUCAGCUUGUUGGUGGGGUAGUGGCUUACCAAGGCUUUGACGGGUAGCCGGCCUGAGAGGGUGACCGGCCACAUUGGGACUGAGAUACGGCCCAGACUCCUACGGGAGGCAGCAGUGGGGAAUAUUGCACAAUGGGCGGAAGCCUGAUGCAGCAACGCCGCGUGCGGGAUGACGGCCUUCGGGUUGUAAACCGCUUUCGCCUGUGACGAAGCGUGAGUGACGGUAAUGGGUAAAGAAGCACCGGCUAACUACGUGCCAGCAGCCGCGGUGAUACGUAGGGUGCGAGCGUUGUCCGGAUUUAUUGGGCGUAAAGGGCUCGUAGGUGGUUGAUCGCGUCGGAAGUGUAAUCUUGGGGCUUAACCCUGAGCGUGCUUUCGAUACGGGUUGACUUGAGGAAGGUAGGGGAGAAUGGAAUUCCUGGUGGAGCGGUGGAAUGCGCAGAUAUCAGGAGGAACACCAGUGGCGAAGGCGGUUCUCUGGGCCUUUCCUGACGCUGAGGAGCGAAAGCGUGGGGAGCGAACAGGCUUAGAUACCCUGGUAGUCCACGCUGUAAACGGUGGGUACUAGGUGUGGGGUCCAUUCCACGGGUUCCGUGCCGUAGCUAACGCUUUAAGUACCCCGCCUGGGGAGUACGGCCGCAAGGCUAAAACUCAAAGGAAUUGACGGGGCCCCGCACAAGCGGCGGAGCAUGCGGAUUAAUUCGAUGCAACGCGUAGAACCUUACCUGGGUUUGACAUGGAUCGGGAGUGCUCAGAGAUGGGUGUGCCUCUUUUGGGGUCGGUUCACAGGUGGUGCAUGGCUGUCGUCAGCUCGUGUCGUGAGAUGUUGGGUUAAGUCCCGCAACGAGCGCAACCCUUGUUCACUGUUGCCAGCACGUUAUGGUGGGGACUCAGUGGAGACCGCCGGGGUCAACUCGGAGGAAGGUGGGGAUGACGUCAAGUCAUCAUGCCCCUUAUGUCCAGGGCUUCACGCAUGCUACAAUGGCUGGUACAGAGAGUGGCGAGCCUGUGAGGGUGAGCGAAUCUCGGAAAGCCGGUCUCAGUUCGGAUUGGGGUCUGCAACUCGACCUCAUGAAGUCGGAGUCGCUAGUAAUCGCAGAUCAGCAACGCUGCGGUGAAUACGUUCCCGGGGCU